rfam:Pochonia chlamydosporia 170 chromosome 2, whole genome shotgun sequence.
GGGCGGAUGGUUUAGUGGUAUAAUACUCCCUUAGCAUGUUUCCACCUGUUGGAUCUGAUCUGGGAGUGGUCCGGGGUUCGAUUCCCCGUUCGUCCA